rnacentral:rRNA from 1 species
GGGUUGUGAGGUUAAGCGACUAAGCGUACACGGUGGAUGCCCUGGCAGUCAGAGGCGAUGAAGGACGUGCUAAUCUGCGAAAAGCGUCGGUAAGGUGAUAUGAACCGUUACAGCCGGCGAUGUCCGAAUGGGGAAACCCAGUGCAAUUCGUUGCACUAUCGUUAACUGAAUACAUAGGUUAACGAGGCGAACCGGGGGAACUGAAACAUCUAAGUACCCCGAGGAAAAGAAAUCAACCGAGAUUCCCCCAGUAGCGGCGAGCGA